ACAUGUGUGAUACGGGAUGUAUCCCAUGUAGACAAGAGAGCUACGUGAGAGAUAAAUGUAGCUAGGUCGCAUGAGUGAUUCCAAGUGAAUGACACCAUGUAGACAAGAGGCUACGAGAUAAAUCGGCUAGGUCGCAUGAGUGGUACUAAGUGUUCACCAUGUGUACAAGAGAGCCGAAUUAAAUGAGAUAUGAUGGUGGGG
rnacentral:lncRNA from 1 species